rnacentral:sRNA from 1 species
AUAAUCAGUAAGAAUAGCUUGUAUCACAGUCAACUUGGAUCUUCUAGAAUUCUAAGGACCAGAAAUCGCCUCUAAUGCCUUCCUAAGCCAUUCAAGCCCACCUAUUAAUAGUUUCAACAGAGCCCCAGAAAUAGAGGAAUGAGAAAGACCUUCCGCAACCUCCAAAACGUCCUACAUGAUUAGCAAUCAUCUCUAAUCAACAACAAAGGAAAUUCAACAAGAUUAAUUAUUAGCAAGCCCCAUUAAAAAGGCCAUGUUCUUUAUCCCAAACAGUUGGCAAACACCUGCUCUUAUAUCCCAAAUCAACUUGUAUUAAUGCCCAUGAAAAGAAAAGGUUAAAAGAUUGACAAAGACGGUGAAUAAAAUUAUUAAGCAAUGAACCUUGUAAAAGAAAAACCAUAUUGCAGUCAGCAGUAACACACUAAAAGUUCCAUGUAUAGUUGAAUAGGAAUAAGAAAAUAAUCAAAUAUGAUACGAACUUUGUAAGGCAUCCAGAUGAAUGACUCAAAAUAAAGUGUCAAGAGAUCAAGUUAAUACCAUGUUCUUAAUAACCAGUCAAAAAUAAACCAAAUUUGGUGGACAGUUAUCUCCAAACAAGUAUCCGAGCGAUGAAUGACCACCGGGAACCGCUUUGACUUUUGUCGAUGGACGAUCCUAUAAUAUAUAUAGGAGAAAAACUAUAUUAACGAAAAACCUAUAAUUAAGAUGAUCAUGAAGGUUAAUAAAAUGGGAGAUUAUCUUAGAGUCUUGGAUCCUUUUUGGGGAAGACGAACCAGUUAAGAAUAAAACCAAUUACACAGAUGUUAAACUAUGUUGACCACUAUUCAUAACUUGAUUUAUUACCGCGCUUAUUUUUGUAGUGAGUUACUUGCAUCCAGAAGCUCCAGUCCCCAGUCCCCAGUCCCCAGCAUGCAAGAAUAAGUGAAAAGAUUGGAAAAAGAUUGGAAAAAGAUUGAAAAAAGAUUGAAAACUAGGUGAAAAAAGGAAAAAUUAAGUGAAAGAAAGAGAAAGAUCGAGAAAAGAAAGUGAAUUUGAUUAUACAUGGGCAUCACGCCGCGGCGGCCGCGGCGGCAGACGGCAGCACAAACUAGAUUUUAUUUUGGUAGGUUCAUUAUUCAUAUAGUCACUAUUUAUACAAAAACAUACAAAGCGGCAGCGGCGGCGACAGCGGCAGCGGCAAUUAAUGAUGACUCUACCAAUUAGGUCGCAUCUACGAUUGC